UACGUAGGGGGCAAGCGUUGUCCGGAUUUAUUGGGCGUAAAGAGCGUGUAGGCGGCCACACAGGUCUGCUGUGAAAACUCGAGGCUCAACCUCGAGCUGUCGGUGGAAACCGUGUGGCUAGAGUGCGGUAGAGGGUAGUGGAAUUCCCGGUGUAGCAGUGAAAUGCGUAGAGAUCGGGAGGAACAUCUGUGGCGAAGGCGACUGCCUGGACCAGCACUGACACUGAGGCACGAAAGCGUGGGGGAGACAAACA
rnacentral:rRNA from 1 species